AAAAAUAAACAAAACCCCUGGAGUUCCUGUCGUGGCUCAGGGGUUGACGAAUCCGACUAGGAACCAUGGGGUUGAGGGUUCAAUCCCUGGCCUUGCUCAGUAGGUUGAGGAUCUGGCGUUGCUGUGAGCUGUGGUGUAGGUUGCAGACGCGUCUCAGACCCCGCAUUGCUGUGGCUCUGGCGUAGGCUGGCGGCUGCAGCUCCGAUUUGACCCCUAGCCUGGGAACCUCCAUGUGCUGAGGGAGCGGGCCUAGAAAUGGCAAUAAACAAACAAACAAAUAAAAAAACACCCUGAAACCUCAAACUAACACAAAACGAAACAAACAAAAAAAAUACUGUAAAUAAAGCUAAAAGGCAAGUGAAAAUAACAGAAGGUAUUUGAAAAAUAUAUGGCAAAGCAUUAGGACUAAUGUUUUUUAACACAGAGCAUUCUUUCCAAUUUCUAUGAAUAAAAUGAAGUUUCUGCUUCUUUUCCUUUUUCUAGGGUUAAAGGCAGUCAAAAUGGGCUACGUUUGGCAUACAACAUAGGCUAGCUGAUGCCAUAGCCUCUGAUGAAAUCGAGCUGUCCUGAGCCCCUGGUUUUAGAAUUGUUUACUUUUAUGCCAAGAAUGAGGUAGCACCAAAAUCCACCCAUGGCGAGUGCCCAGGUCAAUGUCAAGGGGUUCGUGCCGGGAGACGGAGUGUUCCCGUGAAUGCCUAGAACAGAAAACCAUGUCAUAUGGACCCCUGGCGCCUCUAGGGCUGCUAAGUAUGUCCAGGACUGGAUCAAGUGUACUUUUCUUACUGAGGAGCAGAAAAUCACCAGCAAAGUGUUGAAGGCACAAGCACAGACUCAGAAAGCUAAAUGCAAAAACGCAGCUUUUUUGAAUAAUCACUUUUUUAAAAAAUCAAAAGGUUGGUAGGGAGUUCAAAUUAUGGCUCAGCGGGUUAAGAACCUGACUAGUACCCAUGAAGAUGCGGGUUUGAUCUCUGGCCUUGCUCAGUGGGUUAAGGAUCCAGCAUUGCCACCGGCUGCGGCAUGGGUCACAGAUUUGGCUCAGCUCUGGAACUGCUGUGGCUGUCGCAUAGGCCAGCAACUGUGAUUCUGAUUUGAUCCUUAGCCUGGGAAUUUCCAUAUGCCACAGGUGCAGACCUAACAAAAACAAAAACAAAAACAAAAAAUCAUAAGUUUUGUUAAACAAUUAAGUCAGGGUAAGGGGACAGGCAUAUUUUCAUCCAAAUUGGGGAUAUAUCUGGGGUGAUCUGAUUUUAAAUAUAGCCCAUAUGUUAUACCAGGAAUCUGUUUGGGGUGACGCAUAGGGAAAUCAAGGGAGGUAGGCAGUCCUACUGAGGGCGGCUAAGCCUGAAGUUCAGAGUGAGGCUCUUGAGGUGCCCACUGGGCAGACACACCUGUUAGCGUGGUACCCACCCUAGGUAAACUAAGGGAGCUGUCAGGACUGGAUGCAAUAACCCAGGUGGGGAGCUACCCUCAGUGCCUCGCAUAUUCGCUUGUUCAUUCAUUUAUUUAGUAAUUCUUUUUUCUUUUUAAGGCUGAACCUGUGGCACAUGGAGGUUCCCAUAAUAGGGGUCAAAUCCAAGCUGCAACUACAGGCCUAUGCCACAGCCACAGCAACUCAGGAUCCGAGCUGCAUCUGUGACCUACACCUCAGCUUACAGCAAUGCUGGAUCUUUAACCCACUGACAGAUAUGAAGGAUCAAACCUGCAUCCUUAUCGAUAUUAGUCGGGUUCUUAACAGAGCCACAAUGGAACUCCCUAUGCAGGAAUUUUUGAGGGACUGCUGUGUACCAGGCACUCUGUAGGUGCUGGGGAUAUAGCACUGAACAAAAUAGAUGCUAAGUUUUACCCUCCCAGGGCUCAUAUUCUUGCCACAGCUGCAGCAAUGCCAAGUCCUUAACCCACUUCACCACAGCAGGAACUCCCCAGGGCUCACAUUCUAAUGACACAUAGUAAACAACCAUAAAAUGUAGCUAGCAUUAUAAUGUAAUACAAAAGAUGCACAAAUUAAAAACCAAAAUAUAAAUCCUCCAUACACUGUUGAUAGGAAUGUAAAUUGGUACAGCCACUGUGGAAAACAGUAUGGAGGUUCCUCCAAAAAACUAAAAGUAGAACUACCAUAUGACCUAGCAAUGGUUUAUCUGAAAAAAAAAAAAAAAAACAAAAACUCUUAAUUUGAAAAGAUAUAUGCACUCCAAUGAUCACAGCAGCACUAUUCAAAUAGUGAAGACAUGGAAACAACCUAAAUGUCCAUCGACAGAGGAAUGGAUAAAGAAGAUGUGGUAUAUGUAUACAAUGGAAUAGUACUCAGCCAUAAAAAAGAAUGGAAAUCUGUCUUUUGCAGCAACAUAGAUGGACUUGGAGGGCAUUAUGCUAAGUGAAAUAAGUCAGACAAAGACAAACACUGUAUGAUAUCACUUAUAGAUGGAACCUAAAAAAUACAACAAACUAGCAAAUAUAACAGAAAAGCAGCAGACCAGUGGUUACCAGUGGGGAGAGGGGAGGGGAUAGAGCAACAUAGGGGUAGGGGACUGAGACGUACAAACCAUUACGUGUAAAAUAAGCUACAAAGGAGUUUCCUUGUGACUCAGCAAGUUAAGUAUCCAGCAUUGUCACUGCAGCACCUGGGAACUUCCACAUUCCAUGGGUGCGCCCCUACCCCCACCCCCACAAAAAGUAAAAUAAGCUAUAAGGAUAUAUUGCAUAACAUGGGGAAUAGAGCCAAUAUUUUAUAACAAGUAUAAAUGGAGUACGACCCUUUUUUUUUUUUUUCUUUUUAGGCAUAUGCAACUUCCUGGUCUAGGGGUUGAAUGGGAACUGCAGCUGCCAGCCUACACCACAGCGACAUUAACGCCAGAUCCGAGCCACUUCUGUGACCUAUGCUGCAGCUCGCAGCAACACCUGAUUCUUAAUCAACUGAGCGAGGCCGGGGAUCAAACCCGAAUCCUCAUGGAUACUAGCCUGGUUCUUAACCUGCUGAGCCACGAGGGAAACAGGAGUAUAACCUUUAAAGUUAGGGAUCACUAUAUUGUACACCUAUAACACAAUAUUGUCCAUCAACUCUACAUCAAUAAAAGCAAAUAAAAUAAAAACCAGGAUAUCUUUUUUUCAUCAGCUAAAUUGGCAAAGGUUCUCUGAUAAAGAUAAUACCCACAAGGUUUGGGUCAAGGGUGUAAAAAAAUAGGCACUGAGUCUAUUUCCAUGAGGGGGGUGGGCAGUAAGAGUUGGUGCAAACUUUGAGGACAGCAGGUGACAGUAUGUAUCAAAAGCCUUUAUUCCCUCAGUGUUACAUCUCCUAAUUUCUUUUUUUUUUUUUUUCUUUUUAGGGCCGCACUUGAGGCAUAUGGAGGUUCUCAGGAUAAGGGUCAAAUUGGAAUUGUAGCUGCUGGCCUACAGCACAGCCACAGCAACACCAGAUCCAAGCCGUGUCUUCAAUCUACACAAGAGCUCACAGCAAUGCUGGAUCCUUAACCCACUGAUCGAGGUCAGGGAUGGAACCUACAUCCUCAUGGAUGCUAGUCAGAUUGGUUAAUGGCUGAGCCGCAACGGGAACUCCUCCUGAUUUUUUAUCCUAAGGAAAAUAUUCGCAGAUUAUCCAAUGAAUGAUUUCUACGAGAGAAGGAAUGGGGGAGCUUCAAGCCUGAGCCUGGAGUCAGACAGGCUGAUUCUGCAUCUGCCAUCUGUGGGACCCAAGGGUUAUGUGGGGACCAUCCGCUCAGCGGCUGUGUGACCUUAGGCAAGUUAUUUAUAGCCUCCACUCGGCAUGUUCCUCAUCUGUAAAACGGUGAUGAUAAUAGGAUUAACCAGGAGGGAUGCCGGGAAGAGUAAAUGUGAAAAGGCACACAAGCACUUAGCAGAGUCCCCAUAUCUGGGGAGGCUUCAAUAUAUGAAAGCCAAAGAGCGAAAAAGAGUAUUGUGUUCAGUCCAGCAUCAUUUACAAAGGUAAAAAAAGCAAAAGAGAAAAUGCCCAAGUGAUUUAAAAUAAAUACAGAGGAGAAAGACCACCGCCACUCUGAAAAGCAUGUUGCAGAUGAGCGGUUAAUGGCAUGGAAAAUGAUCCCAGUGCAUGGUUAGGUGAAAAAAAGUUGGUUAUAAAUUGUACAUUCAAUAGAAUUCCAAUUUUAGGAAAAAAUAUAGAAAGAUAAUGCUGUGUAUUUUCCAUAAUGAACAUGCAUUUUAAAAAUAAUUUAGGGGGAGUUCUGGUUGUGGCGCAGCAGAAACAAAACCGACUAGUAAUCAUGAGGAUGCAGUUCGAUUCCUGGCCUCGCUCAGUGGGUUAGGGAUCCGGUGUUCCCAUGAGCUGUGGUGUAAGUUGCAGACAUGGCUCAGAUCCUGUGUUGCUGUGGCUGUAGGCUGGCAGCUGUAGCUCUGAUUCGAUCCCUAGCCUGGGAGUUUCCAUAUGCCUUGGGUGNAAAAAAAAAAAAAAAAAAAAAAAAAAAAGUAGGGAGUUCUCACUGUGGCACAGCAGGUUAAGGAUCUGGCAUGGUCUCUGUAGCGGCACAGGUUCAAUCCCCGGCCUGGUGCUGUGAGUUAAGAAUCUGGCAUUGCCGCAGUUGUGGCUGAGAUUCAAUUCCUGGCCCAGGAACUUCCAUAUGCAGCGAGUGCAGCUAAAAAAGAAAAAAAAAAUUAAUUAAAAAGUUAAAAAAAACCAACCCUGCAUAUUAUUUGUAGCAGACAUACAUGGGAAGCAUCACCCCCACUUCCUUGUAACAUUUUAGUUUUCUGUUUUUGGAAGUUACUGGGCCAUGGAUUGAACCCAUGUCACAGCAGUGGACAAUGCCAGAUCCUUAACCCUCUAGACGACCAGGGAACUCCUCCAGUUUCCUUAUGGGGAAAAAUCUUUCUUCCUCUGGUAGUUGUCUUAGUAGGAGGGCCAUUUGUUGCUCCCAAAUCCACCUCUCAUGUAGCGAACCUGAGAAGGCUUUGCCCCAGGAGUGUGGAUAAGUGGCAAGACAGUCUUGGUCUGGUGAUCUACACUGUGGGUGGGGAAGUGGGUGGGGCUGGCACUUCCUUGACCCUGCCCUUCCUCAAGCCCAGUCUCCCUCCUCCUACUGUGAUCACGAGUCCAUAUUAGCUUUCCCAUAAAUUCUUUUCUGUUUAAUUUAGCCAGAAUCUAUUUCUAUUGCUUGCAACUAAGAACGCUUACUAAUAAAGUAUUUUGAAUAACUAGAAAAUGAAUAAAACAAGCUGUACUUAAUGCAAGAGUAGCUGCAGGACCAUUCUUUGCAGGAAAGGUCUAAACCCAGGUGGGGCUGAGGGGGUCAGGAGGAAAGGCAUGACCACUGGAUGCUAAACAUCUGGCUGAAGACAAAAAAUUUGUGCAACAAUUUAGAUGUUCCAAAAUGUCAGCUGCUUGACAUCAGGUGGCAGGUGAUGAUUGCUAUUCAUUGAUUUUGUGAUUUGGGUUGAUUUACAAUUUAGAAGAGUAAACUAAACGAAAAUGAACAAAGACCCUAAGCAUGAUACUAAUUACCCAUGUGUCCUGCAUUAUGAAACCACAGACCAAUAGCUAAUAUGCUCUCCAACUGGAAUCCGGGAGAAUGAUAUGAACCACAGCCUUCUUUUUAUGCUUUUUUUUUUUUAAGGGGGGGGUCUUUUUAGGGCUGCACCCAUAUGGAAGUUCUUAGGCUAGGGAUGGAAUUGGAGCUGCAGCUGCUGGCCUACGCCACAACCACAGCAAUGCUGGAUCCAAGCCUACAUCAUAGCUGUGGCAAUGCCAGAUCCUUAACUCACUGAGCCAGGUGAGGGAUCAAGACUGAAUCCUCAUGGAUAUUAGUCGGGUUUGUAACCUGUUGAGCCACAAUGGGAACUCCUGGUAAGUUUUAAUAACAGCAAACGCCUGCAUAUACUCAUCUGCCUUGAAUUAAGGUAGCAUGACACCAUUUGUUUUUGAAACUUUUUGAAGCCUUCUAUUAAAAUGAUUACUGCCCUUGAUACAAGUGAUUUUCCUGGACAUUAGUCACACAUCCUCAGUGCUCACCUUUACAACAUUUCAGGACGGCUGGCUUCUAAAAUCUCUUGGCUCGCAUCAGUUAUUUUGCCAGUUUUUGUCUCUCUCAUGGAGAAGAUGCCUCCAACUGUGAGUCUGACCCAAGCUCUGGACAAGGUCUCCCAUGGACAAUACAGCAGAUUUAACAGAAAACAAUUUCUGGGAACAAUUAUUCUAAGUCUGAUUUCACUCAUUAUGCAGUUUUUCCUAAUUUGCAGUCAGUGCCGAUGAGGGCAGUAGGAAAAUGCAUGUGACACAAUUCUAUUUAAACCAGUAUUUCUCAGAGUUCCUGCUGCGGUGAAGUGGGUUAAGUUUCUGGUCUUGUCUCUGAGGCAGUGCAUGUUUGAUCCCCAGCCCUGCUCAUUGCAGUAGGUCGCAGUUGCAAUUCAGAUUCAAUCCCUAGCCUGGAAACUUCUUCAUGCCAUGGAGGCAGCCAAAAAGGAAAAAAACAAAAAAUAGCCCCUCCUAGAGUUCCUAUCACAGCUCAGCGUAAUGAACCCGACUAAUAUCCAUGGGGAAUCAAGGUCCAUCCUUGGCCUUGCUCAGGACUGAACCUGCGUUCUCAUGGAUACUAGUCAGGUUCAUUAACCAUCAAGCCUCGAUGGAAACUCCCCAUUUGCUUUUUUUUAACCUGCACCCGUGGCUUGUGAAGUUCCCCAGUCAGGGAUCAAAUCUGUGCCACAGUAGCGAUCUGAGCCACAGCAGUGAUGAUACUAGGUCCUUAACCUGCUGAGCCACCAGGGAACUCCUCAAGUUGCAUUUUCUGCAAAUUGCAAUUGGUAUGGUUGAACAUUUAAAAAUGUUAUCUUUGAGUAGCCUAUCCAUGUCCCUGGUCCAUUUUCCUUCUGGGUUUUCAUCUUUCUUGUUAAUUUCUAAGUGCUCCAUGUGUGUUAGGGAUAAAAGCUCUCUCUCUCUCCCUCCCCCAGCCAUACCUGAGGCAUGUGGGAGUUCCUGGGCCAGGGAUUGAACCUGUGCCAUAGCAGUGCCAAGCUGCUGCAGUAAUGCUGGAUUCUUAACCUGCUAUGCCACAAUGGAACUCCAUAUAUUAGCUUUUUAAUAUCAUGUGUGACAAAUUUCAAUAAUCACUUAUUCACAAUUCCACUAUCUAAAAAGCUCUAAAAUUAAGUAUUGUGCAUAUUGUGUAGGUUUGGUGCAACUCUUUUUUUUUGGGGGGGGGUCUUUUUAGGGCCACACUGGAGGCGUUUGGAAGUUCCCAAGCUAGGGGUCAAAUUGGAGCUAUAGCUGCCAGCCUACACCACAGCCACAGCAACACCACAUACGAGCUGAGUCUGCGACCAAGGCUCAUAGUAACGCUGGAUGCUUAACCCACUGAGCUGGGCCAGGGAUUGAAUCUGCAUUCUCAUGGAUACCAGUCGGAUUCAUUACCGCUGAGCCACAAUGGGAAUUUUGGUGCAAUUCUUUUGAUAACAAAACAUGGCCCUGGCCAACAUGAGACAUUUUUUCAGUCUUUGUAUAUAUUCCACCGAAUGUGAAUAGAGGUCUAUUUUGCUGAAGAGAAAAACCAUGUUUGUUAACAAGGUGCUGGCCUAGACCUCAAUGGGCCUGCUAUUUACAUACUACAUAUUAUCUUUUUUUGUUUGUUUGUUUUGCCAUUUCUUGGGCCGCUCCCGCGGCAUAUGGAGGUUCCCAGGCUAGGGGUCGAAUCGGAGCUGCAGCCACUGGCCUACGCCAGAGCCACAGCAACGUGGGACCCGAGCCGCGUCUGCAACCUACGCGCCACAGCUCAUGGCAAUGCCGGAUCGUUAACCCACUGAGCGAGGCCAGAGAUUGAACCUGCAACCUCAUGGUUCCUAGUAGGAUUCGUUUCCACUGUGCCACAAUGGGAACUCCCGUGUUACCUUUUCUAAAUUCUGAAAAACUCAGCAGUGUGCUCAGCAGUUCCGCUGAUCUGACUCUUGCUUCAACUUGUGUUUGGAUGGAACAGACCCAGGGAUGCCCCUGGCUCCAGCCUCCAACUACCCUCCAGCCUUUUUUCCAGCUGCAACCUUUGGAAUUAAC
rnacentral:lncRNA from 1 species